UUGCUUCAGCAGCACGCAUACUAAAAUUGGAAUGAUAUGGACAAGAUUAGCAUGGCCCCUGCACAAGAAAAUAGGUAAAAGCAGAGUCAUCUCACCAAAUAAA
ensembl:snRNA U6 U6 spliceosomal RNA